AAAAAUGCACGAUGUCCUCCUGCUUGAAUAUGCAGACAUGAAAAAAUCAAGACAAAAGUCUUUUCGCGUGGAAAUGGAGAAAUGGAAAGACAAACGCAUUAAACGGAAAGGUGUGUACGUGUCACCGUUAGUGACAGAACUGCCACUGAAGAAAAAGAAAACUGAGAUAAAAGGGAAGACCACUGUUCAAACCUUUAAACAGGAACAGCACAAACAAUAUGAUGCUCGUCAAAACCAGGAUGAGAGCCAGGAACAAAUAUCUGUUAGCCAAAAAAUUGCAACAUACAUGGCUAAUAAAGUGUCUGUCACAGUAUGGAAAGGAGAUUUAUGUGCCUUCAAAGUGGAUGCAAUUGUGAAUGCAGCUAAUGAAAGUGUCUCUCACAUGGGUGGACUUGCAGAGGCACUGUCUGCUACUGGAGGACGUACUAUCCAAGCAGAGAGUGAUGUCUUCAUUGCCUAAAAUGGCAAAUUAAAGGCUGGACAAGUUGCAGUUACCACAGCAGGCAAACUACCUUGCAUGAAGCUGAUUCAUUUGGUAGGCCCGUGUCUGCAGAAUGACCCCACAGUGCACAUGAUAUCCCAUGCAAAGAAACUUUUAACUAAAGGUAUUUUGAAUGUCAUGACAUGUGCAGAAGAGCACAAAUUUUCAUCUGUUGCCAUUCCAGCAGUGAGCUCUGGAAUAUUCAACUUUCCAGUCUCAAUUUGUGCUGAUGUUGUAGUCACCACAAUCAAAAAGUACAUUGAACAUAAGAACCCCACAAGUCCUCCAUUUGAAAUACACCUGGUAAACAACGAUGAUCCAACCGUGAAGGAAAUGGAAAGGGCCUUCAAAGAGAUCCUUUUGGAGCCACUCUCUGAUGUCAGGAGGACAUGAG